UACGUAGGGGGCAAGCGUUGUCCGGAUUUACUGGGCGUAAAGAGCGUGUAGGCGGCCACGCAGGUCCGUUGUGAAAACUGGAGGCUCAACCUUCAGACGUCGACGGAAACCGUAUGGCUAGAGUCCGGAAGAGGAGAGUGGAAUUCCGUGGUGUAGCGGUGAAAUGCGCAGAUAAUCAGGAAGAACACCAAUGGCGAAGGCAGCUCUCUGGGACGGUACUGACGCUGAGACGCGAAAGCGUGGGGAGCGAACAGG
rnacentral:rRNA from 1 species